rfam:Micromonospora echinospora strain DSM 43816 genome assembly, chromosome: I
CUUCACCGAACCGAGCAGCAACGGACGACCCUCCGGCCGACCCUGACCGUACGUCGCCAACAACGCCUGCGCCUC